ACUGCUCAGUAACACGUAGUCAACAUGCCCAGGGGACGUGGAUAACCUCGGGAAACUGAGGAUAAACCGCGAUAGGCCAAGAUUUCUGGAAUGAAUCAUGGUUUAAAUCUAUAUGGCCCCUGGAUUGGACUGCGGCCGAUCAGGCUGUUGGUGAGGUAAUGGCCCACCAAACCUGUAACCGGUACGGGCUCUGAGAGGAGGAGCCCGGAGAUGGGCACUUAGACAAGGGCCCAGGCCCUAUGGGGCGCAGCAGGCGCGAAACCUCUGCAAUAAGCGAAAGCUUGACAGGGUUACUCUGAGUGAUUUCCGCUAAGGAAGUCUUUUGGCACCUCUAAAAAUGGUGCAGAAUAAGGGGUGGGCAAGUCUGGUGUCAGCCGCCGCGGUAAUACCAGCACCCCGAGUGGUCGGGACGAUUAUUGGGCCUAAAGCAUCCGUAGCCGGUCCUGCAAGUCCUCCGUUAAAUCCACCCGCUCAACGGUUGGGCCGCGGGGGAUACUACAGGGCUAGGAGGCGGGAGAGGCAAGCGGUACUCGAUGGGUAGGGGUAAAAUCCACUGAUCCAUUGAAGACCACCAGUGGCGAAGGCGGCUUGCCAGAACGCGCUCGACGGUGAGGAAUUGGCGGGGGAGCA
rnacentral:rRNA from 1 species